rnacentral:rRNA from 1 species
GAGAUCUGGAGGAAUACCGAUGGCGAAGGCAGCCUUCUGGCAUCAUACUGACACUGAGGUUCGAAAGCGUGGGUAGCAAACAGGAUUAGAUACCCUGGUAGUCCACGCCGUAAACGAUGUCUACUAGUCGUUGGGUCCCUUGAGGACUUAGUGACGCAGCUAACGCAAUAAGUAGACCGCCUGGGGAGUACGGCCGCAAGGUUAAAACUCAAAUGAAUUGACGGGGGCCCGCACAAGCGGUGGAGCAUGUGGUUUAAUUCGAUGCAACGCGAAGAACCUUACCUGGUCUUGACAUAUCUAGAAUCCUGCAGAGAUGCGGGAGUGCCUUCGGGAAUUAGAAUACAGGUGCUGCAUGGCUGUCGUCAGCUCGUGUCGUGAGAUGUUGGGUUAAGUCCCGCAACGAGCG